rnacentral:rRNA from 3 species
AAACUUGAGAGUUUGAUCAUGGCUCAGAACGUACGCUGGCGGCACGCCUAACACAUGCAAGUCGAACGAAGUAGCAAUACUUAGUGGCAGACGGGUGAGUAACAUGUAGGUAUCUGCCCUUUGGCCUGGAAUAACACGAGGAAACUUGUGCUAAUACCGGAUAAGUCUUUACGGAGAAAGCUUUAUGCACCAUUGGAUGAGCCUGCACUUGAUUAGUUUGUUGGUGGGGUAAUGGCCUACCAAGACUGUGAUCAAUAGCUGAUUUGAGAGGAUGAUCAGCCACAUUGGGACUGAGACACGGCCCAAACUCCUACGGGAGGCAGCAGUGGGGAAUCUUGCACAAUGGAGGAAACUCUGAUGCAGCGAUGCCGCGUGAGUGAAGAAGGCCCUUGGGUUGUAAAGCUCUUUCGUCGGGGAAGAAAAUGACUGUACCCGAAUAAGAAGGUCCGGCUAACUUCGUGCCAGCAGCCGCGGUAAUACGAAGGGACCUAGCGUAGUUCGGAAUUACUGGGCUUAAAGAGUUCGUAGGUGGUUGAAAAAGUUAGUGGUGAAAUCCCAGAGCUUAACUCUGGAACUGCCAUUAAAACUUUUCAGCUAGAGUAUGAUAGAGGAAAGCAGAAUUUCUAGUGUAGAGGUGAAAUUCGUAGAUAUUAGAAAGAAUACCAAUUGCGAAGGCAGCUUUCUGGAUCAUUACUGACACUGAGGAACGAAAGCAUGGGUAGCGAAGAGGAUUAGAUACCCUCGUAGUCCAUGCCGUAAACGAUGUGUGUUAGACGUUGGAAAUUUAUUUUCAGUGUCGCAGGGAAACCGAUAAACACACCGCCUGGGGAGUACGACCGCAAGGUUAAAACUCAAAUGAAUUGACGGGGACCCGCACAAGUAGUGGAGCAUGUGGUUUAAUUCGAAGAUACGCGCAGAACCUUACCAACACUUGACAUGUUCGUCGCGACUCUAAGAGAUUAGAGUUUUCGGUUCGGCCGGACGAAACACAGGUGCUGCAUGGCUGUCGUCAGCUCGUGUCGUGAGAUGUUGGGUUAAGUCCCGCAACGAGCGCAACCCUCACUUUUAGUUGCCAUCAUUAAGUUGGGCACUCUGAAAGAACUGCCAGUGAUAAGCUGGAGGAAGGUGGGGAUGACGUCAAGUCCUCAUGGCCCUUACGUGUUGGGCUACACACGUGCUACAAUGGUAUCUACAACAGGAAGCAAGACUGCGAAGUUAAGCAAAUCCCUAAAAGAUACCUCAGUUCGGAUUGCACUCUGCAACUCGAGUGCAUGAAGCUGGAAUUACUAGUAAUCGUGGAUCAGCGUGCCACGGUGAAUGCGUUCCCGGGUCUUGUACACACCGCCCGUCACACCAUGGGAGUUGGUUCUACCUUAAGGCAAGGUUUUAAACCCUUGACCACGGUAUAGUCAGCGACUGGGGUGAAGUCGUAACAAGGUAGCCGUAGGGGAACCUGCGGCUGGAUUACCUCCUUU